GAAUAUAAUGCCGACUACAGAACAACAACAAAAAAUGCCCCCUUGAGAGAGAAGUAGUCUCAAUUUACUUUAAAAUAUUCUGGUAGUUAACUUUUUUCCCCCAAAAAACUUGUACUAGAAACAAUUGUGAUAAUUGUAUCUUGCUAUAAUUUGCAAUUAAAUUGAUUUAAAUGGGUAACUCUGUUACUUUUUAAGUAACUGCUGUUAUAUGAGGGAAAUCAUAGCCAUCUUUAAAAAAUGUGUUUCCUGCUAUAACUUAUGUGUUAGAAUAUUCACACUUUCUCAAGUUUUUCUAUGCAAUUGCAAGAGAAGUUAAACUCAUUUAUUGUACANNNNNNNNNNCUCCUAAAAGACCAAGAGGAAGACCCAAGGGAAGCAAAAACAAGAGUCCCUCUAAAGCAGCUCAGAAGCUACAGGAGAAGCUCCCUGAAGUCACUGCAUUUAGUGCAUGGAUGUUACAUCACAAAUACAACAUGAAAAUUUGACUAAAUUUUACUUGAACUGAGGAAAGCAUCCCAUUAAAAAGCUGUUACCAAGGCAAAUCAUGCAUACCCUUCUGUAGGAAAUAUUUUAGUGAAGGCAAAUUGUUGUGUAUAGGCUUGAAAACAAAUAUGGGAGAUCUGUUUAUUUUGUUGGUUGUACAGCAGUUAGCACUAGUUUACAGGUACUAAAUCACUAAAGCUUGCAAAAUCUGGUAGUGAACUGUGGUGCUAAAGUGUAUCAGUAUCUUUUAAGAAGGUGCAUGACAAAAUGUGUGGAAGGUAUUUGUGUCCUCAUCUAAUUAUGGUUCAUUUUUCAGUAUGCCUAUCUAUGGUACUGACCAUAUUAAGUUUGAUAGCUUUCAGUGUUAUAAAUUGCUAUAGCAACUACUGAUAAAUAUUAAAUCA
rnacentral:lncRNA from 1 species